rnacentral:rRNA from 1 species
GAUGAACGCUGGCGGCGUGCCUAAUACAUGCGAGUCGAGCGAACAGACGAGGAGCUUGCUCCUCUGACGUUAGCGGCGGACGGGUGAGUAACACGUGGAUAACCUACCUAUAAGACUGGGAUAACUUCGGGAAACCGGAGCUAAUACCGGAUAAUAUAUUGAACCGCAUGGUUCAAUAGUGAAAGACGGUUUUGCUGUCACUUAUAGAUGGAUCCGCGCCGCAUUAGCUAGUUAGUAAGGUAACGGCUUACCAAGGCAACGAUGCGUAGCCGACCUGAGAGGGUGAUCGGCCACACUGGAACUGAGACACGGUCCAGACUCCUACGGGAGGCAGCAGUAGGGAAUCUUCCGCAAUGGGCGAAAGCCUGACGGAGCAACGCCGCGUGAGUGAUGAAGGUCUUCGGAUCGUAAAACUCUGUUAUUAGGGAAGAACAAAUGUGUAAGUAACUAUGCACGUCUUGACGGUACCUAAUCAGAAAGCCACGGCUAACUACGUG